rnacentral:rRNA from 1 species
UACAGAGGUCUCAAGCGUUGUUCGGAUUCAUUGGGCGUAAAGGGUGUGUAGGUGGCGCCGUAAGUCGGGUGUGAAAUUUCGGAGCUUAACUCCGAAACUGCAUUCGAUACUGCGGUGCUUGAGGACUGGAGAGGAGACUGGAAUUCAUGGUGUAGCAGUGAAAUGCGUAGAUAUCAGGAGGAACACCAAUGGCGAAGGCAGCACUCUGGGACGUGACUGACGCUGAGACGCGAAAGCGUGGGGAGCAAACAGG